CCUACGGGUGGCAGCAGUGGGGAAUAUUGCACAAUGGGCGCAAGCCUGAUGCAGCGACGCCGCGUGCGGGAUGGAGGCCUUCGGGUUGUAAACCGCUUUUGUUCAAGGGCAAGGCACGGUCUUUGGCCGUGUUGAGUGGAUUGUUCGAAUAAGCACCGGCUAACUACGUGCCAGCAGCCGAGGUCAUACGUAGGGUGCAAGCGUUAUCCGGAUUUAUUGGGAGUAAAGGGCUCGUAGGCGGGUCGUCGCGUCCGGUGUGAAAGUGCAGGGCUUAACGGGGGAUCCGCGCAGGAUACGGGCGGGCUUGAGUGCGGUAGGGGAGACUGGAAUUCCCGGUGUAACGGUGGAAUGUGUAGAUAUCGGGAAGAACACCAGUGGCGAAGGCAGGUCUCUGGGCCGUUACUGACGCUGAGGAGCGAAAGCGUGGGGAGCGAACAGGAUUAGAUACCCGGGUAGUC
rnacentral:rRNA from 1 species